UACGUAGGGGGGCAAGCGUUGUCCGGAUUUAUUGGGCGUAAAGAGCUCGUAGGCGGUUUGGUAAGUCUGGUGUGAAAUCUCCACGCUCAACGUGGAGGGGCCACCCGAUACUGCCAUGACUGGAGUCCGGUAGAGGAGUGUGGAAUUCCCGGUGUAGCGGUGAAAUGCGCAGAUAUCGGGAGGAACACCCGUAGCGAAGGCGGCACUCUGGGCCGGAACUGACGCUGAGACGCGAAAGCGUGGGGAGCGAACAGG
rnacentral:rRNA from 1 species